GUACAGAUAAAAACGAAAAAACAGUUUUGCAACAAAAAAAAAGUACUUUUACAAAUAGAAAAAAUAGUAAUGUUAAUACAGGGGAAAUGAACAAUGUAUGUACUAAUAAAAAUGGUAUAAUAAGAAAGAAUGUAAUGAAUUUGGAAAAUAAAACGGAUGGUAAACUUAUAAAAUAUAAGGAUGAAACAGUUAAGUGGGAAAAUAACGAAGCUAUGGAGGAGGUGCAAGAUCAUGACUCGGAUAUGUUUUUCGACGGGGUAACUGAAAUUGAUGGUUGUGUCAGAAGUAGUGGCACUUGUAGUGAUAAUAGUGUGACUAGUAGUGAUAGUAGUGUGACUAGUAGUGAUAGUAGUGAUAGUAGUGAUAGUAGUGAUAGUAGUGAUAGUAGUGACAGUAGUGACAGUAGUAGUGAUAGUAACAGCACUAGUAGUGAUAGUAGUAGUACAAGUAACCAGACUAUAACAAAGAAGCGAACUGAUAGGUGCACCCUAAAAGAAGCAACAUGUGAUAAUAUAAACCUACUAGACGAACUAAAUAUGUCAAAUAAUAAAUACUACUUUCGAUAUAAUAAAAACAAAUAUAUUAAAUCUAUUUUCCCCUUCCAUAAAUUUUUAGGUCCAUUUUUAAAAAAUUCUGAAUGCGUUAUCAUAAAUUUAAUUAAAAACAGUUGCACUACAUUAACAACAGCGUUAAAAAAUGAGAAUGUAAUUCACAUGACUAGACCAUACGAUUAUAUUUUUUUUAAACGUAAUUUUAUUCAUAGUGGUAGUAAUAAUAGUAAUAGUAAUACAAGACAUAAGAGGGUUGAAAAAAAGGCAAUACAGGAUAUUUUAAAAGAUCAAAAAGUAGUUUCUAGUAGUAUUUGUAGCGAGUUAGUGAUGAAUAGCGACUUAGUAGUGAAUAGUGAAGAGGAGUUAAAAAAUGAAUGUAUACUGAAUAAAGAAAAUAUUGAUAAGAUAAAUAAACUGGAAGAAUUAAACAAUCAGAUUAACAAACAAAUUCAUUUAGCUCAUACAUAUCGACUAAAAAACAAUUAUCUUCCACAA
rnacentral:lncRNA from 1 species